rnacentral:rRNA from 1 species
GAUGAACGCUGGCGGCGUGCCUAAUACAUGCAAGUCGAGCGAACGGACGAGAAGCUUGCUUCUCUGAUGUUAGCGGCGGACGGGUGAGUAACACGUGGAUAACCUACCUAUAAGACUGGGAUAACUUCGGGAAACCGGAGCUAAUACCGGAUAAUAUUUUGAACCGCAUUGUUCAAAAGUGAAAGACGGUCUUGCUGUCACUUAUAGAUGGAUCCGCGCUGCAUUAGCUAGUUGGUAAGGUAACGGCUUACCAAGGCAACGAUGCAUAGCCGACCUGAGAGGGUGAUCGGCCACACUGGAACUGAGACACGGUCCAGACUCCUACGGGAGGCAGCAGUAGGGAAUCUGCCGCAAUGGGCGAAAGCCUGACGGAGCAACGCCGCGUGAGUGAUGAAGGUCUUCGGAUCGUAAAACUCUGUUAUGAGGGAAGAACAUAUGUGUAAGUAACUGUGCACAUCGUGACGGUACCUAAUCAGAAAGCCACGGCUAACUACGUG